rnacentral:rRNA from 1 species
GUUCGCCCAUUAAAGCGGUACGCGAGCUGGGUUCAGAACGUCGUGAGACAGUUCGGUCCCUAUCCGUCGUGGGCGUAGGAAAUUUGAGAGGAGCUGUCCUUAGUACGAGAGGACCGGGAUGGACAUACCUCUGGUGUACCAGUUGUCGUGCCAACGGCAUAGCUGGGUAGCUAUGUAUGGACGGGAUAAGUGCUGAAAGCAUCUAAGCAUGAAGCCCCCCUCAAGAUGAGAUUUCCCAACUUCGGUUAUAAGAUCCCUCGAAGAUGACGAGGUUAAUAGGUUCGAGGUGGAAGCGUGGUGACACGUGGAGCUGACGAAUACUAAUCGAUCGAAGACUUAAUCAA